UUUUUUUUUUUUCUUAUUAGUCAUUUGCUUUGAAGCAGCCUAGAGGGUAGGCCUUUGAAAAAGGCUCUCAGAAAACUAUCAUCCCCGUUUCAGAAUUCAAAAUAAAUGAGCAGUUCCCACAUUCAAAACAAGGUGCAGUGUUGGAAGUUAAUGGUGGCGUAUUUAGAUUGUAAGAAUUUUUUUCUCCCUGAAGGUACAUGGUUUUGUGUGGGGGUGCCUUGUGGUCUAGGCUAAUCGUGGAAAGCUUUUUUACCUAAAAUUGAAACGUAUGAAGAAACCGGCCUGUAAAAGGCCAGGUGCUUUGACUUGGGUCAUCUUUUUACUGUGUGUGGAGCCCUAUUGCUCCAACUGCCGCUUUACCACCAUUCUUCAAUUCACAGGGUUCUUUCACAGGUUCUUUCUCUUCCAGCAGCUUGUCUGGCAACAUGCAUAUUUAAUGGUGCUCUCACAGGUGUUGGCCUGGAAUCUGACUCGCCUAGGAGGUGAUCCAAAGCCCAGCCUUCACCUUUCACUUUUAAAAUCAGAUCUGGUAGCUGGGCUGAAGAUUUAGCAAAGCGCCUAAACUCUUGCGGGGCAGAAGGAUGGACUUGAGGACUGCUUGCUUUUUUACUUGAAAAUGUGCACAGGUCCAGCUGCGUCGAGGAGUAGUGUGUGGUUGUACAAAGCCGUUGUGGCACUUCUCUAAAAGGGUUUCAAAAUAAUAGACCUUUAAAAAGUUAUAGAAUCAGUUUGUAGACUGUCGGUGUUACUAUGUUACCAAGAAAGUGUUCUUGAGGGAGGUCAUGUAUCAGUCUGAUCUGAUGACUCUGGAAUCCCCAGAGGAAAGAUUGAGGAGGAGGCCAGCCGAGAAGUAAAUGGUCAGACUUCUCACUCUUAUAAACUCCUUACUACUUACAUAGUCCUUACAUUUUGUUCUUGUGUGCUUUAGAAUUUUUACUAAUCUCAUUAGCUGUAAGAAGGUAAAGAAUAGACUUUAAGCAUCUAUCUUCCUUCCUUCCUUUUCUUUUUUUGAGACAGGGUUUCACUGUAUUGUCCUGGAACUCAAGCUGUAGUCCUGGGUGGCCUGGAACUGCCUCCCAAGUUCUUAAUGGCACCAUUGACCCUGUAGCAUUUCUCUUUUGUGAUGAUUCAUCUUUGUAACUAACUUACUUGACCAGCAUUAGUAACUCAGUAUCUACUUAAUGAAGUUCUCGUAGUUACAACACUGAAGAUAGUGGAAUGUAUAGAGUGGAGAAAGACAUUUAGGGCUUGGAUUGAUUUUUGAGUUUAUUUCAUAAUUUGGGUUUUAGGUAUAAAGAAAAAAUUAUGUCACUUACAGGAAAAUGGAUGGAAUUAGAACAUUUUGCUAAGUAAGACACACUUAGAAAGACAAAUGUAGUAUGUUUCCUCAUCCAAAGGGAAAAUUUUAAAAAGACAAGAAAGAACUAUCUGGAAAGAGGAAGGAGAAAGGAGAUUGGGACAAAGAGUGAUGAAUAUGAUCAAAGUACAUGAUCCAUCUGUGUUAACGUGUCAGAAUGAGUCAACCAUUUGUACAGUCACUAUAUGCUAAUUAAGUAUAUAUUCAAACAGGUUUAUAUUAAUAAAAUGUAUCCUGUGUUAGAGUGUACAUGCCAUUUCUCCAGAGAGAGAGAGAGAGGAAGAGAGGAGUGUGUGUGUGUAUUCAUUCCAUAUUUCAAGUAGAAUCACAAAAUAAUUCCCUGACUUAGAAAACAGCUUGAAAUGUUUUUAAAGGGGCAUUUCCACUGUUAUACAUCUUAAUCAAUAGGAUUUCUUUUGGGGAAGAAAUAGAUGCAAAACUAAUGGCAUUUUCAUUAUUGGAGCACUGAAGGCCUGUCUUUUGCUUUAGGAUCAUAGACAGUUAUUUAUAAAUGUGUAGGUAAAUAAGUGUGUAGGACUUGAACCAAAGCAUGGCCAUUAUUGCUGUGCUGCUGUUGGUUUUAGAUCAAUAUAAGCAUUCUUUUUUUUAAUGGAAAGGAGAAAAAUAAGUAGAAGAGCAGUCACAGAUUGAUGAUUCAUCCAGGGAACACCUAUUCUGUAUCUACCGGACAACACUUAGCUCUGCAGUGGAAAUGCCAGAGAGGGUGAGCUUGUGCCUAUAAGAAACUCCUAGCCUAGGAGUCUGCUAUGCCAGGGCAAGGCUGAGGAAGGUGGUAAGGUGUGAGGACAGAAUAGCACAGAAGUAGCUUGUUAGGAAACCUAUUACCCUUCCCACUUUCCGCCAGUAAAUGACUGUAUUUUGUUCCUGUAUUUUGUUGAGUAGAAACUACAGAGAUGAGUAGAGUGUAGUAGUUGGUGCCAGUCUUAUUAAUUCUUAGAGAAAGCAAGGGUGUUGAUCUUGGUUACCAUGGUAAGCAUGGUUUGCCCGUGAUCAGGUAAAACUUGGUACUAGAAUUUGAUACUUAGGGUCCAAAACUUAACUAUGAUCCUUCAAGGCAAGGACAAGUGCUGCUUUCAUCGAGAGUUGUUUCAUAAUGGAAAUUUCAGGUAAGAAACAAACCCUGAGACUCAUCCUUUCCACAUCUGUGUAUUUGAAACUGAAAGCAGCCAUAACGGUGAAAGGCCAAGUGGAUGUUUUUAAUCUUCCAAAGCUUGUCUUGUACAUCUUUCCUAAAAAGUAAUGCAGAUGCCUUUAUAUUUUUUCCUAUGUGUCUGGUUAUGUUUGAAUAGUUCAAUCAGUGUACUAGUAGUAAUUUAAAAUAGUCAACUUUGGAGUCACAAGCUGAUUGAAACUAGUGCUUAAAAGGUAAUUAUUGUUAUGGGUUGACAUGUGCAUUAGAUUUGGUGAGAUAGUUCUCUAGAAAAGUGAGGAGUCAGAACCAAGAAAGUGUCACUGACAGUAAGCAUUAACUCAAACUGCCAGUUCUUUCCCCCUAACUCCCUUUUGGUUUUUUAAGAUAGGGGUUCUCUCUGUGUAUCUUUGGCUGUCCUGGAACUUGCUCUGUAGACCAGGCUGUAGGUCAGUCUAAUGAGAAAUAGCAUCCUUUUGGGGUUUCUGGAAUAGUUCAAUAGAGUCUGAAACAUUGUGACUUUUGCUCUAAUCUAUAGUGGGAACCCCACUCUUUGAUUCAUUUUGAUUAUAGUAGUGUCUGUAAUCAAUAGGACACUAUUUAGAGUCCUAGGGGGUCUGAGAAGUGCCUCUGGGAUUUGUGUAUGAAAUUGUUAGUCUUUGACACUUGAGCUUUUGCUGUUGUAAAAGAAGAUACCAAUGUUUUGUGCUCAUUACACUGCCAAUAGGUUGCUUUCAUCUCUCUCACAGCAGGAACUCACUUAAGUGUUUAAAAAGAGGGGAAUAAUUUGAAAGAGCAGAAAGGCAUAUAAGCAAACUAAACUAAGAAUGGACUCAUUCUGAUUGCAGACUGAUUUUAUUUCCUUUUAACUCCCUCUGCCCUACACCUUUUAAACUUCGAAAUUAGAAACUUAGACAUCAACAAUAUUUUAUCUGAACUUCUGUUGUAGAAUUGGGCUUGGUGGCUUUUGGUUUUGAAGAGC
rnacentral:lncRNA from 1 species